AUGGCCAGACGACAAACUCCAACUCACCCAAUGUUUUCUUCUUCAUUUAUCAGAUGUGAGUAGCAGUGAUACAUCCACAGACACAAGCAAUGGAGAUACCAGCGUGGAAACCACAGGCAGUCCUGAUGCCCCUGAUGCCCCAGGCAAGUUCUGCAUGCUGUGCUGUACUGAAGACUGCAUCGAGGAAAGCAGCCAUGUCGGGAGCCAAGGUUGUUGGGUGCCCUGUAUGGAGGCAUGUUGGAAGGAAUGUAUGGAGCCCUAUAUGGAUCUCUGUAUGGAGCCCUGUACACAGGAUUUGUCAAAGGUGUGCAACAGUAAGGGGGACAUUAAAGAGGACGGUAAGGGGGACAUUAAUGAGGACGGUAAGGGAGACAGUAAGGAGGACAGUAAGGGAGACGGUAAGGGAGACAGUAAGG